rnacentral:rRNA from 1 species
UGUGUAGGCGGAUCGUUAAGUACCUUGUGAAAUCCCACGGCUUAACCGUGGAACUGCUUGGUAUACUGGCGAUCUUGAGCCACUUAGGGGCUACCGGAACAAAUGGUGGAGCGGUGAAAUGCGUAGAUAUCAUUUGGAACGCCAAUGGUGAAAACAGGUAGCUGGGAGUGUGCUGACGCUGAGACACGAAAGGCCAGGGGAAGGCAAAACCG